CUGACUUGAAAAAAUUUUUUAAUUCAGAAAGAAUUAACCAAAAUAUUUCACAAGAAAUCUCGAAUACCGGUAAAACAUGGCUAACCACAUUUUUAGCCAAUGCAAGGCAAAUGUAUUGUUUAACAGCGUCAAUCAAUGGUGUCGGAGUUGAAGUUGGAGACCUUAUUUUCACAUUUAUGUCCGAAAGGAUGUUCAUAUAAGUUCGAAGAAUAUGAUAUAUAAGAUGCAAGCUCAUCAACUUUGAUCGCAUCGAUUGCGACUUUAGGUCGUAUUCAUGCUCAUACGGAAUGUUUUUAAUAGAAAGCUUACAUAAAGCUCUGAUUAACAAAAAUGCAUCCCGAAGCAACUGUUGCUCCAAAGAAUCCUCUUCCAAAGGAGCUUCUUCACGAACCUGGUCAAAGCUUUUUCUGUGCUCGAAAGAUUCAAGUGUGAGUUUGUUUUCUGAUAAUUGAGAAGGUAUAGGAGAGUUAGCACGAUCAGCUAAAACAAUAAGUUAGUAUAAAGAACUAAAAACAUGAUGAUUGCUUACGAGUUCCAUUACUGGAUGAUUUAUUCAUGUUAAUAGUAGAAAAUUCUCUUUCAUGAUUAAGAACGGUAGAAAGGCGCUGGAAUACUGAAUCAACCAUUUGUAAAAGAGCUACCUGAGCAAUGGCUUGGGUAGUUGAGUCUUUACAUAAGAGGAAAAUAUUGUAAGUUUGCCUCACUGCUGUAAGUAAAAACGAAUGUCUAAUGAUUGUCCUUUCAGAAGUAAUAGCUGCCAAUAAAGCCUUUACAAUUUGUAGCUGCACUCUUUCUGGAGUAGACUCACCGCAAAAACAGGAUGCAAUAGUGUUAACCACACGUUCCAUUAAGGUAAUAUCCGAUGGAUUUAAUGUUGGGGAAUCAAAAUAAUUGUAAUCAAUC